AGAGUUUGAUCCUGGCUCAGAGUGAACGCUGGCGGUAGGCCUAACACAUGCAAGUCGAACGGCAGCACAGGAGAGCUUGCUCUCUGGGUGGCGAGUGGCGGACGGGUGAGGAAUACAUCGGAAUCUACCUUUUCGUGGGGGAUAACGUAGGGAAACUUACGCUAAUACCGCAUACGACCUACGGGUGAAAGUGGGGGACCGCAAGGCCUCACGCGAUUAGAUGAGCCGAUGUCCGAUUAGCUAGUUGGCGGGGUAAUGGCCCACCAAGGCGACGAUCGGUAGCUGGUCUGAGAGGAUGAUCAGCCACACUGGAACUGAGACACGGUCCAGACUCCUACGGGAGGCAGCAGUGGGGAAUAUUGGACGAUGGGCGCAAGCCUGAUCCAGCCAUACCGCGUGGGUGAAGAAGGCCUUCGGGUUGUAAAGCCCUUUUGUUGGGAAAGAAAUCCUAUCGGUUAAUAACCGGUGGGGAUGACGGUACCCAAAGAAUAAGCACCGGCUAACUUCGUGCCAGCAGCCGCGGUAAUACGAAGGGUGCAAGCGUUACUCGGAAUUACUGGGCGUAAAGCGUGCGUAGGUGGUGGUUUAAGUCCGUUGUGAAAGCCCUGGGCUCAACCUGGGAAUUGCAGUGGAUACUGGAUCACUAGAGUGUGGUAGAGGGAUGCGGAAUUUCUGGUGUAGCAGUGAAAUGCGUAGAGAUCAGAAGGAACAUCCGUGGCGAAGGCGGCAUCCUGGGCCAACACUGACACUGAGGCACGAAAGCGUGGGGAGCAAACAGGAUUAGAUACCCCGGUAGUCCAA
rnacentral:rRNA from 1 species